rnacentral:rRNA from 1 species
UACGAAGGGUGCAAGCGUUGUUCGGAAUUAUUGGGCGUAAAGGGUGCGUAGGCGGUUUGGUAAGUCUGAUGUGAAAUCUAUGGGCUCAACUCAUAGUCUGCAUCGGAAACUGCCGGGCUUGAGUGUGGGAGAGGUGAGUGGAAUUCCUGGUGUAGCGGUGAAAUGCGUAGAUAUCGUGAGGAACACCAGAGGCGAAGGCGGCUAUCUGGACAAUUGCUGACGCUCAGGCGCGAAAGCGUGGGGAGCAAACGGG